UACGUAGGGGGCGAGCGUUGUCCGGAAUCAUUGGGCGUAAAGCGCGUGUAGGCGGCCCGGUAAGUCCGCUGUGAAAGUCGGGGGCUCAACCCUCGGAUGCCGGUGGAUACUGUCGGGCUCGAGUCCGGAAGAGGCGAGUGGAAUUCCUGGUGUAGCGGUGAAAUGCGCAGAUAUCAGGAGGAACACCAAUGGCGAAGGCAGCUCGCUGGGACGUGACUGAUGCUGAGACGCGAAAGCGUGGGGAGCAAACAGG
rnacentral:rRNA from 1 species